rnacentral:tRNA from 1 species
GGGUAUAUAGCUCAGUGGUAGAGUGUGUGCUUAGCAUGCAUGAGGUCCUGGGGUCAAUCCCCAGUAUCGCCA